CCUACGGGUGGCAGCAGUGGGGAAUAUUGCACAAUGGGGGAAACGCUGAUGCAGCGACGCCGCGUGAGUGAAGAAGUAUUUCGGUAUUGAAAGCUCUGUCAGCAGGGAAGAAAAUGACGGUACCUGACCAAGAUGCCCCGGCUAACUACGUGCCAGCAGCCGCGGUAAUACGUAGGGGGCAAGCGUUAUCCGGAUUUACUGGGGGUUAAGGGAGCGUAGACGGGAGGGCAAGUCUGGAGUGAAAGGCGGGGGCUCAAACCCCGGACUGCUCUGGAAACUGCCAGGCUGGAGUGCAGGAGAGGUAAGUGGAAUUCGUGGUGUAGCGGUGAAAUGCGUAGAUAUUAGGCGGAACACCAGUGGCGAAGGCAGCUUACUGGCGUGUAACUGACGUUGAGGCUCGAAAGCGUGGGGAGCGAACAGGAUUAGAUACCCCAGUAGUC
rnacentral:rRNA from 1 species